AUGCCGCGAACUGCGAAGUAUUGGUGUCUUGCUAUUGUCUCGAGUGAACAAAGUGCGAGAAGGAAUUAAGCGGUGUCUUUUAUAUACGAACACAAGUGAGCAUUUCAAGAAUACUCGAAGUCUUUCAUUUGUGCAUAUUUUACCGUUCAUUAUAAAAUCGGGUACAUUUAUACAACGUUAUCUGCAACCUCCAUGGAAACGUCAUCACAAGAUCAAUUGCAUUACGAUUCGGGAAAAAAUAGGAACUUCUGAAUUAAUCGUGAACUGAGGACAGGUAAGUCUGUUUAAUAAUAAUAUUUUGCUGAAGAUGAUCCGUUGUGUCGCCAAAUACUGUUUCAUAGUUUUGUCUAUUGGUUUAUAAUCAAGAGCCAAUGUUAAUAUCACUCAUGUUUUCAUUUUUUGUAUUAUUUGAUCCAUAAAG